UACACUCCUACGGGAGGCAGCAGUGGGGAAUAUUGGACAAUGGGCGCAAGCCUGAUCCAGCCAUGCCGCGUGAGUGAUGAAGGCCCUAGGGUUGUAAAGCUCUUUCACCGGUGAAGAUAAUGACGGUAACCGGAGAAGAAGCCCCGGCUAACUUCGUGCCAGCAGCCGCGGUAAUACGAAGGGGGCUAGCGUUGUUCGGAUUUACUGGGCGUAAAGCGCACGUAGGCGGAUUAUUAAGUCAGGGGUGAAAUCCCGGGGCUCAACCCCGGAACUGCCUUUGAUACUGGUAGUCUUGAGUUCGAGAGAGGUGAGUGGAAUUCCGAGUGUAGAGGUGAAAUUCGUAGAUAUUCGGAGGAACACCAGUGGCGAAGGCGGCUCACUGGCUCGAUACUGACGCUGAGGUGCGAAAGCGUGGGGAGCAAACAGGAUUAGAAACCCUUGUAGUCCCAUG
rnacentral:rRNA from 1 species